AUUUUCUGCUCUUUGCAAACAUUGCUUUAUAUGAAUACAAAUUUAUUUUCUGCUACUUAAAUUGAAAGUGAACUGCAUCCUAUCCAGUUCAGUAAGCUGACAACUUCAUAUCAGAACCAUUGGAAGUUGAAAUGCAUAUCACUUGUUUUAAUGGAGUAAAUCCACUGGUUAAAUAUUUUACUAGGUGGUAUGUUAAGAGCAAUAUCAAAACCUAAGCAAACACAUUCCUACUUAUGCAAACAGAAUCUCA
rnacentral:misc_RNA from 1 species